rnacentral:lncRNA from 1 species
AGGAUGAAUAAAGUCCAAGCAACUCUCUGAAGGUAUGAGGCAGAGACACAUGUUGAGAAUAGUGGAAUAAUAAAACAUAAGGCAUAACCUUACCAGACUUGGACUUCUUGCUUUUGCAUUGGGUUGUAUGAGCGCUGAAUAGACAUCUGCCUUGUCUGAGUCUCUACAAUUUUAUAUUUUCUGUCUCUCAGAGUUGACAUAAAUCUUAAGUAAUAUAAAAUCACACAGCUAGCUACCAGCACUCAGUUCUUUUAACUCCAAAUAUGGUUGUUUUUAUUUUACCCCACAACAACUGGCACUCUAUCCACCUCAUUUUCAGGGCUUCUGUGAAGAUGAAUGAGGAAACAGGUAAGAGAGUACUUUGUAAACUGUAAGGCCUCAUUUAUAUGUGAGCAGAAGCAGCAUUUUGCAUUUGUGGAGAGCCAUGGAAAAAUACUUAAUGUCUUAGCUUGCUUGUUGGUUGAACAGGUAGGGAAGAAAAAUAAAAAAGCAAAAAGCCAUGUUGUACUAGAGACCUGGAUUCCAAAUGAACCGGAAACUCCUUUGGCUAAUUCUUGGGCCAAAAGAUGCCUUUCAAGUGGGGAAGGAUGAGUUAGUUCUGAGCUUCCAGGACCUCUCUGACGAGCUUUGGUUUAAUGCUGCCCAAACCUUUGUGUAAAUACACCUACAGCUUAAGUAAAAUAGGAAGAGUUGGGGAUCUAAAAUGCCCUAGUUGGGAUAUUCUCUGUGUCCUAAGAGGAAAUUGUAUUAGUAAAAAGCAAAUUCCCAGUGUUGGAAUUUGAGUUGUUUCGGGAAUGAGUGGCCAGGUUUUCAGAAGCUUGUUUGCUUUAUGAAGAGUACCAGGGUCAGUCUUUGCUGGCCAGAGGUCUCUAACCAGAGACAGGUUUUCACACAGGGCUUUUCAUAUUUUCUGCCUUGAGCCAGGCUCAAAUACCGAGAAGUCUCUCGGGGGUAUUUUUGCAAGUUUGCUCUUUUUCCUUUUGCAACUGGCAAAGGGCAACCAAAGCCAAUGCUUAGAAGGUAUGCAUAUGCCCUGAACACUUUGUCGGGGAUUUUUUGGAAGGUGUGCUGCAUCUCAAAGCAAACAUUGUUUUGGAAUAUCAUCCGGUUGUUUACAGCCCUUGUUGCAUGAUUCAGAGCUGAUGAUAGUUUAUUUUAAAAAGAUAAGGCAAAAUAUAGUCCUUGCUCAAGAGGGUGGUCGAGAAAUUCAGUGACUGUGAGGAGUAGGGUGAGGAAAUCUUGUUUGUAAUAAUUUCUGACAUUCACUGGGCAUAUUUAUACACCAGACAUUGUGCUAGCCCUUUUCAUAUGCUGUAUUACUUAAUCCUCUCAACCAUCGUGCUUGCCAGAACGAUUAAAAAUAUUUAACAGCAAGUAGAGCACAGCAUCAGUAGGUGAGAACAGAUGUCGCUUUAGUACUGGGUCUGGGUCCUGGAGGCUCCUUGCUUCCUAGGUAUUAACCCUUUUGUUUCUGAAUCGUGGGGGAAAAUCAGGGGGAAGAUAGGGUACUCACUUUCCAACCAUAUCCCUUCCUUCUCCUCUCUUCUCUCCUCUUCCCCCUUCUCUUUCCUGUCCUCAUCGUCCCUUUCCUUCUGAUCAAGCAUUCUGUGAAUGAGAGGGUAAUCUCCCACAUAGACUAUAGUAGUAGGAGCUUAGAGUUAUGUUUUAGAAAUAAAGGAUAGAAAGCAUUUAAACAAAGCUGGAUUCCAAGAGCAAGGACAGGAGUAAAGAAAGAUUAUCAAUGAUGCCCUAACUUUUUGAUCUCAGCAUCUUUUUUAGAAUUAAAAACAUUAAGGACCCCAAAGAGAUGUUACCCAUUCCUAUUUAUUUGCAUUUAUUUACUGAAAACUGAAAAAAUAAAAUAUAUAUUAAUUCACUUAAAAAUAACAAUACUAAAUUGCAAAGUGCUAACAUACGUACUUUUAUGAAAAAAUCAUAUUUGAAAACAAAACCUAUGUAGUGAGAAGACUUUCAUAGUUUUAUAGUUUUGAAGACCAUUUUGGUGUUUGUUUUAAUAGAAGAGAGCUUCUCUGCUGUUUCUUCUUUCAUUCAUUGUAAUACAUUAUUUUGGUUGAAGUAUAUGCAGAAAAUUCAGCCUCACACAAAUAUAUUAGCUGAGAAGAAAGAGCAUUGCAAUCAGGUUUUAAAAUGGCUAUUCUUGGUCUCACAGUAAAAUUGCCAAAUAGUAGUUUCUAAAAGGUCGGUUGCAAUGUAUAAUCUGAAACUAUAUUGAUGAAUUUUGGUUUUCUAUUACGCUAAAAUCCAUUGGUCUGUCUUGAUCUUUGAAUAUAAAUUAUAGCCAUAUAUGAUUUUGAAACAUUGUGUAAUGGUCAGUUAAAAAAAUAUUAGGUCAUUGAAUUAUUCGGAUCUAAAUUAAUACUAAGAUUUGCAUUUGUUAAUAUCACCACCAAUCUUAUCAGAAAAGUCUAAGGAUUGAGAAGCUUCUCAUGUCACGGUAGAGAAUGUGACAUUCCCGAAAUUCGAAUUUUCACUUUCAAGCUCAAAUUUUAUCAUUGGCAACACAUAGUGCUCUAUGUUUUACUUGACUAGACAGCCUCACUUCAUUAACUUUCAAGAAGAUGUUUGUCAAAUAAGCAAAUUUGAAUAAACAGUAUUUCAUAAAAAAAAGCAGUAGUUCAACUUGUGAUUCAAAAAAUUGUAUUAUUAUUUACCCUAGAGACAAUCAUCAAAAGUCAUUUCAGAAUACUUCUCAUUUUACCACACAAAAUGUUAAAACGUGAUUUGUAUUCAGGAGUUGAGAUUUAUUAAAAUCUCCAACUUUUAGUGCUUUAUUAAGGUCGUUCUGAGUAAAACUGGCUUUAACCCCCGCCCCUGACUUGAAUAAGUUUCCUGCAAAUGAACAGUGGUGAAAAAUAGCUUAAAUCUAAUUCUGCGGUUGAUAUAUUGAUUCACUCCUCAUGUUUGCAGUCACAUCUUUGAUUUGGCAAAUUAUUGUGUCGUUGGAAAGUACAGUGCCGUGAUUUCUUUUACUGACCUCUUGUUCAGCCGGCAUUCAGCAAUGUCAGCUCUACAAGGUUUUAUUAAGCUCUUAGCUAUUGAGAGCCCCCCUUUAGCUAAUGGAAUAGAUAACUUACUUUCUAAGGUGCUUGGAUGACUUUUUCAUUUUAGUUUGAAAAGCUGUAGCAAACCAUUGUUGACUCAAAGCGUUCAUUGUGCCUUCAUUUAAAACAUUUAAUUUCUUUUUCUCAAACUCUGGGUGUUUAACUUCGGAAUAACAUCUCAAUUUCAGGAAGACAUCUCAGAGUCUGGGUGUUUAAUUUCAGAAUGGCAUCUUGGAUGAUACUAUUAAAGGGUGAAUUCUGUGUUGCUGAGACAUAAUAAAGUAAAAUACUUUUUGUCACAGACUCUUUUAUUUAUAAUUUUCUACAUAUUUUCCUAAUCCUCCCCCAGAUUUUCUGUGGUAUGCUUGUCUCUUGCAUGAGUCAGAGAGCUCUCUGAAAUGUCAAUUUCAUUUUUUUUCAGCAGAGGUAGAUGUGGAUAGUGUAGAGGUAGGUUGAGAGAAAAAGUCUUCUAAUCUCCUUUUAUAAGAGGAGUCUCUAUCCUAAAGUACAAUGGUAAGUAAAUAAAAUAAAGCGUACUUAUUUCUUGCUGUGUUUUUAUGUAAGUACAAGGGACAUUUAGAAAUUUCAAGGAAAUGAUUUUUGGUUAAAAAAGGGUUUUGAAAAUUACAGCAGGUAUAUCCAAAGAAAAUUGAUAAGAACAUGUUAAAGUUCCUAGAAUAAGCUUAAGUUAACCUCUGAAAACGCACACAUUUGUUCUCCAAAACUACGUUAGAAAAAUAUACAUCACCUCCUGGACAAAAGGCUUUGGUUAAACAGUUCUAUAUUCAUUUUAAGAAAAAAGGUAAUCAACGGAAAAAGGGAAAAAUCCAGAAAAACAUGAAAAUACACAAACACACAUUCUCCCAGCCAUUGGAAUAAUGGGUGACAUCAUCACAUAUCAGAAAGAAUCUAGAGGUGUCAACUGCACCGUGAUGAAAAACAUAGGAGUAAAAUAGGCAAAUAACUCUUAAUAUUAUUAUAAAAUUAGUUUUGAUUCAUGGGUCUCUUGAAAGGGUCUUAGAGAAAGUGGGUGCACAGUAUGAGAACUGCUGGUUACAAUCACUGAAGGUUGAAGUACUUUCUAUAGACUGAAGGAAGCAUGGUACAUAGAUUAGUGCUAUGUGUUGAAGUGUAUCCUGCCCCCUCGGGAAAAAAAAAAAAAAAAAGAUACUUUGAAGUGCUAACAGAAUGCAAUCUUGCUUGGAAAUCGUCAUUGCUGAUAUAAUCAUUUUGGAGUAAAGACUUGCAUUCAAUAUCAUUGUUAUUAUAAGAAAAGGACCAGAGUUCCAGCCAUGGUGCAAUGGGUGAAGAAUCCAACUGCAGCAGCUCAGAUCACUGUGGAGGUGUGGGUUCUAUUGCCAGUCAGCGUGGUGGGUUAAGAAUUGGGCAUUGCUGCAGCUCUGUGGUGCACAUCACAGCUGUAGCUUAGAUUUGAUCCCUGUUCCAAGAACUUCCAUAUAUCACGGAUGCAGACAUUUCCAAAAAAAAUCAAGGGAGAGCCAAACAAGGAGAAGAUGGCCAUGCAAGAAGGGAAGCAGAGACAGAAAUUGGAGGGCUUUAGCUGAAGGCCUGAAAAUGCCAAGGGUUGCUGGUCACCACCAGAAGCCGAGAAAGAAGCAUGGAACAGAUUUUAUUGUUUUAAGCCAUCGAGUUAGUGGUACUUCGUUGCCACAGUCCUAGGAAAUGAAUAAAUCUAGCUUGUUCUAAAAGCCAUUCGUGAGAUUAAACAUGAAUUUCUACUGUAAACCCAAGAAAAAUAGGUUUCCUAUAAUUUAAAAACUUUCUGCUAGGGCAAAAAUGAACUCCCCCCCCGCCAAAAAAAAAAAAAAAA